rnacentral:rRNA from 1 species
CUUGCUCUCCUAUAAGAGGUCCAGCCUGCCCAGUGACUUAGUUCAACGGCCGCGGUACCCUAACCGUGCGAAGGUAGCGUAAUCACUUGUCUUCUAAAUAGAGACUAGUAUGAAAGGCAUCACGAGAAUUUAACUGUCUCCUUUUUCCAAUCAGUGAAACUAAUCUUCCCGUGAAGAAGCGGGAAUCCAAAAAUAAGACGAGAAGACCCUAUGGAGCUUUAAACACUAACCACCUGCCCAAUCCUAUAAAACCCCGGUUCCUAAACCAACGCAUCAUGACUACGUGUUUUUGAUUGGGGCGACCACGGAAAAUAAUCAAACCUCCGUAAUGAAAACCUACAAGCCACAGCUUUAAGUAUCAACAAAUUGACAUCCAUUGACCCAAUAUAUUGACUAAUGAACCAA